CACGUAGGGUGCGAGCGUUGUCCGGAAUUAUUGGGCGUAAAGAGCUCGUAGGCGGUGUGUCGCGUCGGCCGUGAAAACCUGCAGCUUAACUGUGGGCUUGCGGUCGAUACGGGCAUCACUGGAGUUCGGCAGGGGAGACUGGAAUUCCUGGUGUAGCGGUGAAAUGCGCAGAUAUCAGGAGGAACACCGGUGGCGAAGGCGGGUCUCUGGGCCGGAUACUGACGCUCGAGGCACGAAAGCGUGGGGAGCAAACAGG
rnacentral:rRNA from 1 species